GAUUCAAAUGAUGAUUAUGGAUGUCAAAUUCUCACGACGGUCAUCUGAGAUUUGUUCAUUGAUGACAAAUAUCCUUUCAUUCUGAUGAUU